UGACACCUACGGGGGGCAGCAGUGAGGAAUAUUGGUCAAUGGACGAGAGUCUGAACCAGCCAAGUAGCGUGAAGGAUGACUGCCCUAUGGGUUGUAAACUUCUUUUAUAAAGGAAUAAAACGAGGCACGUGUGCCUUUUUGCAUGUACUUUAUGAAUAAGGAUCGGCUAACUCCGUGCCAGCAGCCGCGGUAAUACGGAAGAUCCGAGCGUUAUCCGGAUUUAUUGGGUUUAAAGGGAGCGUAGAUGGGUUGUUAAGUCAGUUGUGAAAGUUUGCGGUUCAACCGUAAAAUUGAAAUUGAUACUG
rnacentral:rRNA from 1 species